rnacentral:rRNA from 1 species
GCUCAGGAUGAACGCUGGCGGCGUGCCUAAUACAUGCAAGUCGAGCGAACAGAUAAGGAGCUUGCUCCUUUGACGUUAGCGGCGGACGGGUGAGUAACACGUGGAUAACCUACCUAUAAGACUGGGAUAACUUCGGGAAACCGGAGCUAAUACCGGAUAACAUAUUGAACCGCAUGGUUCAAUAGUGAAAGGCGGCUUUGCUGUCACUUAUAGAUGGAUCCGCGCCGUAUUAGCURGUUGGUAAGGUAACGGCUUACCAAGGCAACGAUACGUAGCCGACCUGAGAGGGUGAUCGGCCACACUGGAACUGAGACACGGUCCAGACUCCUACGGGAGGCAGCAGUAGGGAAUCUUCCGCAAUGGGCGAAAGCCUGACGGAGCAACGCCGCGUGAGUGAUGAAGGUCUUCGGAUCGUAAAACUCUGUUAUCAGGGAAGAACAAAUGUGUAAGUAACUGUGCAC